AACGAACGCUGGCGGCGCGCCUAAUACAUGCAAGUCGAGCGAGAAGGUGUAGCAAUACACUUGUAAAGCGGCGAACGGGUGAGGAAUACAUGGGUAAUCUACCAUCGAGUGGGGAAUAACCAGCCGAAAGGUUGGCUAAUACCGCGUACGCCUCCGAAUCUUCGGGUUCGGAGGGAAAGCCACACUGUGAGUGCGGCGCUCUUUGAUGAGCUCAUGUCCUAUCAGCUUGUUGGUAGGGUAACGGCCUACCAAGGCUUUGACGGGUAGCUGGUCUGAGAGGACGAUCAGCCACACUGGCACUGCGACACGGGCCAGACUCCUACGGGAGGCAGCAGUAAGGAAUAUUGCGCAAUGGGCGAAAGCCUGACGCAGCGACGCCGCGUGAAGGAUGAAGUAUUUCGGUAUGUAAACUUCGUAAGAAUAGGAAGAAUAAAUGACGGUACUAUUUGUAAGGUCCGGCUAACUACGUGCCAGCAGCCGCGGUAAGG
rnacentral:rRNA from 1 species